AGCUAUCCGACAUCAAAAUUCAAGCUGCUGAUCCUGGCGUGUAAGCUUACUCGCACUCAUGCAAGGUCCAUUCGGCGAGUGCUCCGAUAAGAUUGUAAGUCAUAUUAGGUUUAUGGAGCAGCAUGCGCAGACAGAAUGUAACCCUGAUAAGCCUGGUAAGAGCUACCCUGGUUCUUUAACGUGCACCAGUGUAUAUCACUACCACACGGGACCACCAUUUAACGUCCUUCCCGGUAGAUUUUAGAUAGCCCAAAGCCGCCAUCUUGGACGCCAUCUUGGAUUUUCGGAAACUCCAGCACUUAAGGGGCUGACAGCAUUAUUGUUUUACUUCACACCACAAAUAUUGGAAUGGCAGAAAUCGGAGAGGGAAUCAUCGAAGUAUAGAAGGGCUACGCAUUCAUCCAUUAAUUAGAAUGAUCAGUUGUUGAACCAGUCUCUAAUCUUACAGAAGCAUUAUUUAUCUUUUUUAUGAUGAAGUCUCGGUGUUGGUUGUCUAUAUUUUCUUAAGGUAACCUUGGUUGUUAAUGUUUACAUGCAUUUAUGGAAUAUCAUGUUUGCUACAAUAGAAUUUAUAUAAGUGAUUUUUUUAUCAAUGGAAGUAAGUUUUAUAUUCAUUUUUAUAAUGUUUGUUUUUGUUGAUUCAUUUUCUAAGGAAUAUGUAUAAUGUAAAAAAAAUCUUUGAAGAUACAUGUAUAAUUUGAUUUGGAAGGUGUUUAAAUUUGGAAAUGUAACAAGAUUUGUGGAAAUAAAGAAUAAGGUACUGGGCUUGAUUUAUUAUACAGAAAAUUGACAUCUGAAUAAUCUUCACAAUUUCCCCAAAUGAGUUCAUAUCGAUUUUGUAGUGGAUUUUCUGUCAAGACUUGUGGAUACAUCUGGAUGACUGAAUAUUAUAAUGUAUUCUGUUUUUACAUUUCAGUUUAAGACAUUUUAAUUAAAAAGAUAGUACACAUAUUGUCUGUAUUUACAAAAAGAAUAUGAUUUUUUGUUAAGUUUAUAUAGGGAUAUUUUAAUGUAAAACAAUGAAUAAAAUAUAAUGAACUUUUUACAAUUCCUUAAAUUCAUUGAUUAAAUAAACAUUAGAGGGAGAUAUAAGCCUCAACAGGGACUAUGCUGACUAUGCACUUGAUUACUAGACACACAAAGUUAAAGGCCUAGCAGGACACUCAACUUGUGUGGCAGCACGAUGAAAAUUGUUUAUAAUGUAAUAAGUAUAGUUCAGCCAAGUACCUCUUAGUAUGAUAUUUGUAUACAACCUGUAUACCUUGUGUAACAUAAGGAUGGAAUUUUGGCUUUGUGUUAGCAUAAUUCCAUGACACAAAUUAAUAUUUGAUUUGCCUUCAUAAGAUAAUAGCAAUCAAAUGAAAUUCUAUAUAUACAAAUUUUAAACUAUCAUGACAAUUGUAUAAACUUGUUGUGUAUCAUGUUUAGUUGUUAUUUUGAGAAGUGUAAUAUUGCAUGUUAUUUUUAUUGAUAUCAGAUUUUAUUAUACCGUUGCAUUUGUCCUAAAGCAGCUGAUAUUUAGCAUACUUACUGUAUGUUGUUUUCUAUUCAUAUCAAGAUGGUCAUGUUAGUCAGAAAAAUCUUUAAAAAAGUAUAUUAGUUUGUCUGAUAAGCAUCUGGUAUUGGUAUAUAAAAUAGUCUGUGAACUUUAUAGCUCAUUCAAUGAGACCAGCUCUACAUAUUUCAAAUUGUGCCAAGAUGUUCGCUUCUCAAUCUUGUCAUGUGCAGUGCUUAAGCCAGCGCUGAAGUUAACGGAAAACAUUGUGGAAAACUAUGAUGAACCAUUUUACAAGCAUCAUUUGAGAGAAUGCACAAGUGUAAUUUUACUGUGUUGCAUUAAGCAGAAGAAUACAAUAAAUGGUAAACAAGUAUGAACUAAUUGUUCUGUUUGCUUAGUGCCUUUUUUAAAGAUGCACUGUUACUCCCAAAUAAGAUUAACCAUGGUUAAUACUAUUUUGAUAUUC